rnacentral:lncRNA from 10 species
GACAGAUCAGCCAAGAAGAUAUAUGGAUGAAAAUUAAACACAUUAAAUACAUCCGAUGUCAAUAACCCUGCUCCCUACCGGUUAGACAGCUGAUGUCAGAAAGGCCGACCCCAUCGCGCGUGCGCGAGCACAAGUGGGCAGGAACAGGAAAUGCCACGAGGACGCUGAAUCAAACCUGCCUACGUGAAGGGCUGAAGACGCGACAUUUCCUGACAGAGGUUGCUAUGUCUAGCAGCAUGAGCCUCUCCAUGAAGGCAUGAGGGGAGAAGACCUCUUCUCUACCUUGUCCCAGGUCUUCCAGGAUUGGUGUCUCCUUUGAGAAGCAGGACUGCUUUUAUAAGUCUUAGGUCUAGUGGAAGCUGCUUCGGA